rnacentral:rRNA from 1 species
CAGUCGACGAAGCUCGAAGCUCUGAGAUUUCGGUCAAGGAGCCUAGAUGACUUAGUGGCGAACGGGUGAGUAAUGCGUGAGCAACCUGCCUUUCAGAGGGGGACAACAGCUGGAAACGGCUGCUAAUACCGCAUAACACACCGGGGUGGCAUCACCCUGGUGUCAAAGGAGCAAUCCGCUGAGAGAUGGGCUCACGUCUGAUUAGCUGGUUGGUGAGGUAACGGCUCACCAAGGCGACGAUCAGUAGCCGGUCUGAGAGGAUGAACGGCCACAUUGGGACUGAGAUACGGCCCAGACUCCUACGGGAGGCAGCAGUGGGGAAUAUUGGGCAAUGGGCGAAAGCCUGACCCAGCAACGCCGCGUGAAGGAAGAAGGCUUUCGGGUUGUAAACUUCUUUUAUCAGGGACGAAGGAUGUGACGGUACCUGAUGAAUAAGCCACGGCUAACUACGUGCCAGCAGCCGCGGUAAUACGUAGGUGGCAAGCGUUGUCCGGAUUUACUGGGUGUAAAGGGCGCGUAGGCGGAGAGACAAGUCAGAUGUGAAAUCUAUGGGCUUAACCCAUAAACUGCAUUUGAAACUAUC